CGCGUGAGUGAAGAAGGCCUUCGGGUUGUAAAGCUCUUUUGUCAGGGAAGAAACGGUGAGAGCUAAUAUCUCUUGCUAAUGACGGUACCUGAAGAAUAAGCACCGGCUAACUACGUGCCAGCAGCCGCGGUAAUACGUAGGGUGCAAGCGUUAAUCGGAAUUACUGGGCGUAAAGCGUGCGCAGGCGGUUUUGUAAGUCUGAUGUGAAAUCCCCGGGCUCAACCUGGGAAUUGCAUUGGAGACUGCAAGGCUAGAAUCUGGCAGAGGGGGGUAGAAUUCCACGUGUAGCAGUGAAAUGCGUAGAUAUGUGGAGGAACACCGAUGGCGAAGGCAGCCCCCUGGGUCAAGAUUGACGCUCAUGCACGAAAGCGUGGGGAGCAAACAGGAUUAGAUACCCUGGUAGUCCACGCCCUAAACGAUGUCUACUAGUUGUCGGGUCUUAAUUGACUUGGUAACGCAGCU
rnacentral:rRNA from 1 species